AAUGGAUUGUUCGUGUGUCGCCCUGUCAUCAAAAGAAAUCCCUGCUUCUUUAGAAGUUGAAAUAGUUUUGUUCCUUCUGCGUAGCUGCUUCCAAAUGCUGUCCGAGAAAUUACAUCACAGGUAAAAUUCUGAAGGGAAGGCCAAACAUCAAUCUCACAUGUUCCAUCUGAUGACAAUAAUCCCUUCCAUUUGCUUAUCAUUUCAUUGCAACUGUGAGAAAAUGCAGGCAGCAUAACCUAUAGUUUGAAGUAAAUCAUAUUAUAAGAAUAAAAAUUAGAAAUUUAAUUUACAAAAUUGCAAGAAUUAAUUAAAGCAAUAACCUUACUUUCAAUUUUUCUAGGUGGAAUGCUGGAUUGGCGAUCUUCCUAUGUUUAGCCCAUUUCUUACCCUCAUGAUCUAGUAUACCAACGUUCAAAUACUUGGCGAUGGAUCUUAGUUUUGGUUUGGGGAAGUCAUCAAUCUUGUUAAAGACAUCCUUAAUUUGAUCAGGGUCUGUGAUGAUAACCCUUGGUAUUGUACCUUCCCAUAAAAAGGAAUUCUUUCCUGCAUAUCCUUUAUGUUAGAACAACAAACCCAACUCUAAAGCAAACAGAUAAAUUAAAGCAUAGGAAUACAAUGCUUGAUUACAAAGUUCUACCAAUUGUGUCUACGUCUCUGAGAGCAAUGUGGCAGUUGUAAUUUUCUAUUGUGCAAUGCUUAAGAUUUACAUAGUACAAGAUGUGUUUAAAUACUUCCCUGCGCUCGUUGCACUUUCAGCUCUUCUGGCUCUGUUAUGCUAGAGCCUCUUCCUACUUAUCAGUGCAUAUAAUUCAUACUUAACACUUCACUUAUCAGUAACUUAUGGAGGACUUGAUAUCAAUUUGUGAUUUAAUAUUAACAUCAAUCAAGUCCGUAUCAUGUUUGGUCCUUGCAUCUGAUAAUAUAAACACAAACUCCUCCAGAACUCCGUUCUUUUCUUUUCAGUUACACAGGCAUAUUAACUAUGGCAUCAAAAAAUCAAAUCUCUAGACAUUUCUGAUUUUCUUGUUAAUAUCAGAUAUUCAAACAAAGUUUUAAAAAGUGUCUGUGACUGUGAUUUGAGUUGCAAUAUCAAAAUUUUGGAUAUUUCUUUGACCACAAUGGAGGCCACAUCAACUACACAUCACCACAAUAUCAAUGAUAGCACAUUGAUUGAGUUAUAAAUGGUGGACAACUUGUUAAGCUAGCUUCUGCACUGAGCUAGGACAACUCCCAAAUUCGAAGUCUAUCCUAAGGGCCGACUUUCUCCACUCCAAGUUUCUAAAAAUCCACAAAUAUUUUUGGAAAUGUACUUCCGGAAAACAUAUUUUGUCCGGCUUUCGAACAAACACAAAAUUCAUGCCUUUUUCCUACUGUAUACGUCUAGGGGUUGUGAAUAGUUCCUUCCUUAUCAUGAAUCUGUUGUCGGGGGUAGGGCUUUUUUUAAAUGACAGAUGUUAGGAUGUUGAUUGUUAGGUUAGUAUGUUCUCCUCAAACCUGACUUUAACUCCUCUUAGCUCAACCAAGUGAGCUACCCAUCCCUCCAAAGGGAGGUAGGGCUUGUUUUUCUUUUAUAAAUUAUACGCAAGCUAUAAAAUAUUGGCUUAAAUGUAUUUUUUACCCUUUAACUUUUAGAUUGGUGUAUAAACAAAAUAGAAAGUAAGAUUAGUAUAUGUACCAUAUUUGUGUACAGUUUGAUGAAUAGGAGUGAAGAUAGACGGUGCAGCUUCUUUGGAGAGACCAAUGGAUUUAGAUUUAUCUUCUUGUUGCAACUUCAACAUAUAAUUUUGUCUUGAUUUAUCCUUAAAUACUGAAAGGUUAUAUGGUUCACCUUGAAAACCUUGAGCUUUGAGAAGUUUCUCAAACCUCUUUGGCUUAAGCCAUAACUUGUUGAGAAGAUACCAUGGAAUCACAGCAAGUAGAACUGACAGAACAGAGAUGAUUAUUGUUGUUCCUGUGGGAAACACAAACACCUCCAUUUUAUGUUUUUGUCUUGGAAUUGGAUUGUGUCUUGUUGUGUUGUGUAAAAAGGUCAUUAAAGAGAUAUCUAAGGUGGUGGGGUCAUUCAAGUUCAACAGGGACACGUACACGUCUUUUCCAUUUUCCAUGUUGAAAAAAUAAGAGAGAGAAAAGAAAGGCUGAUGCCUGAUUGUCUCAAUUUAGUGUCUUAAUUAUAAUUUAUAUUAAUUUGGUCUCCUAUAUUUUUUACUAGUUUUAGUCCUUUAUGGUAGUUUCUCUAUAAAAAAAACGUUAACUUAUGUAUUAAAUUGAUCCCCGUUUUGCUUCGUUUUUAAUUUUAGUCCUUUCUGUUCACUUUUUUUUUGAGAGAAACUAAUGGAAAGUAUUAAAACCAGUAACGGAGCAAAUCAUAGAGGACCAAAUUAAUACAAAUUAUAGUUAGGGGAUCAAAUUGAGAGUGAUUUAACAAGCAAAAAAAACUUACCACUCUAAUAGUAAUAUAUCUAUUAAAAAAAGUGUUCGAUGUAUCUAGUUUACAAUAUUAUUUAUUAAAUAAAUUUACAAAGUUUGUACAUAGAAAAUAGGGUUAAUUAUAGAAAUUGAAUAUAUGUUAAGUUUAAAAAUGAUCUUGUAAAAUAAAAAGUAUAUAUUUUAAUAUUGUAAUUUGAGAUUCUUAUUAUUUUUGACUUUGUAAUAUAGUUGAAGUCCAAAAAAUUAUUUAGAGAUUGAAUUUUUUCAUGAUUUUUUUCACGUAUGUUUGGGACGUUAAAAUAUGACUUUACACAAAAAAAAUAAAAAAUUUCAACCGUGGAUGAAUCAAUUAUGAAUUUUUAAAGCGCCAAAAACUCAAAAAACAGAACAACGAAAACUUCAAUCUAGAAAUUGAAUUUUGAGUUGAUUGUUUGCAGAGACAUAUGCAGAUAUACAUAAAAAAGAUCUACAAAGUUUGGUACCAUUUUAAAGACGUUUCAAUUUAUUUUUAUUUUCAACCAAAACGUGUGAAAUAACAAUUUUGUUCCGGGUAAACGUAUACUCAUAGAUCAGGUUCAGUUCUCUAAUUUUGUAGGCAUGGUUAAAAUUUCAUAAGAACAUUCACCAUUAAAAUUAAAUUUUGGAGUUUUUAAACGAGAUACGAAUUAAUUAUGAAUUGUUUAAGAAAUUUUAUAGUUAUGGGAAAUAAAAAUUUGUCCCUAGUCUGAAAAAAUAUAUAUUUUUUUUUUUUGGUGUAAAAUCAUGUUUUAACAUCCUAAAGAUGCUUUUGAUUUGUUCAAAAAAAACAUCCUAAAGAUGCAUGGAAAAAAAAUCAUUAAAAAAUUCAAUCUCUACACCAUUUUUUCGGACCAUGCCUAUAUUAUAGGGUCAAAAAUAAGAAGUAUCUCAAAUUACAAGUUUGGAAUAUGUAUUUUUUUAUUUUACAAUGUCAUUUUUCAGACAUCGCAUAUUUCACAGAGUCAAAAUUAAAUAAUUAACCAAAAAUAAUAAUAUAAAAAGUAAACUUUCUUUUAUAAUACAUAUCGAAGAGACAUGUGUCUAAAUACCACAUGUGCCCGCGGCAAGAUAGUGGGUAUACACCGUUGCGGGUAAGGUUCCCUCGGUUAUUUGAGUUGGCGGUGGAGAAGGAGACUAAGGUCGAGGAGAUGAGGAGGAGGGGGUGGGACGUUAAUGGCAGGGCGUGGGUGUGGAGACGUCGUUUGUUUGUUUCGAAGGAGGAGAGUGUGAGGGAGUGUGCAACUCUUUUAUGCAACAUUGUUUUGCAGGACACUGUUCAAGACUCUAGGAGGUGGUUACUAGAUCCGGUUCAAGGGUAUUCGGUGAAAGCAUCAUAUCGUUUUAUUACAGAAACAGGCGCUACUGCGGACAGGUCUUAGGUUGAUGUUGUUUGGCCAAAGCAUGUACCGUCAAAGGUGUCUUUAUUGAUGUGGCGUCUUCUCCGCAACCGGCUUCCUACUAAAGAUAAUUUGGUUCAACGGGGUAUUCUUAUUCCAAGAGAUGGCAUGUGUGUGGGUGGUUGUAAUGUUAUAGAAUCAGCUACUCACCUUUUUUUAGCAUUGUAAUACUUUUAGUGCCUUGUGGUCUAAUGUGAGGACUUGGUUGGGAAUUUAUUCGAUGUUUCCUAGUGAGCUUCGACAACAUUUUAUUCAGUUUACCAGGAUGUCUUGCUUGCCAAGGUCGGUACAUUUAUUCUUAACAGUUAUUUGGUUUGCUACUAUUUGGGUGACUUGGAAGGAACAAAAUUAUCGUAUGUUUCAAAACACAACAGCUACUUCAUCGAUCAUUCUUGAAAAAGUCAAGUUGGAUUCUUUUUUAUGGUUGAAAUCUAAACAGGUAGCAUCUUGUGCGAUUUGAAAACACCUUUUAAUGGGCAAUUUGACAUUGUAAUUUUGUAACUUUGGUGGUGUGUCUCUUUUGCGCAUCUUUGUGCGAUUGAAAACACCUUUAAGUAUAUAUAUAUAUCAUUUUGAUUUGUUAAAAAAAUAUAUAAUGGAUAGUUUGUUUUGAAUUUUUUUAAAGAAAAAAAUUUAUUUUAUAAACAAAAAACGACUUUUAUGAUUUGUAGUGUUUUUUUUUUUAAGAUAUUUCAUUUUGUUUUUUGCUAUGAACUUGAAGAAAUUAUAAAUAGUCAUUCAAAUUCAAGCAUUAUCACAUACACUUUAAAGGUCUUUAAAUGUUAUAAUGUGGCUUAGGUUAAGACAGAAUAUAUUUAAAAAAGUAGCCUAACAAAAGAUGUGGAUUUAGAUACAAGCUACAAAUCUUCAAGAACGAAAAAGUACUACCAAAAUUUUAUUUCUUGGUUUUCCUUUUUUUCUUUUUUUUGUGUUGACCAAUUUUUGAUAGUUUAGUCUGCAAUUAUUUUUUUCUUUUUUCAUUUUUUUUAUUAGGAAAAUAUUUAUUCCACUAUUCUUGAUAUGUCCGUCUGCAUAUGAUAAGAUAUUUAUUCCACUUUGAUCCUUGACAAAAUCCAAAUCAUUGCAGCAAGAUCAGCAGCUAUCUAUUAUGAUCUCAAAUAACACCUCAUCCAGGAAAAAAAGUGACAACCAACAAGCAUCAACAUCAAAAAAAAUUGACAACCUCGUCCAGGAAAAAAAAUCAUAUUGGAGCAAUAUUAAUUCAUAAACAACCCAACCUUCAUAUUGGAGCAAAAUUUGUCCAAAUUCAUAAACUCAUACCUGUGGUUUCUUAUACAAAUCAAUAUGUCUUAAUUUAAAGAAACUCAUGUUUACAGAUAAAUCACCUAAAAGAGUAAAGCUACUGAAUAACUCCAUUGGAUGUGCUCUUACAGUUUAUGCAAAAUGAUGCUUGCACCAUUUUUUGGCGUCAAAGUAAGCACAGUGGUGGGAACAUGCACAUAAUUUGGAGAAAGUUCGAAUGAGAAAUUCUGCAGCAGCAAUGAAAUUGCUAUCUUUGCUUCUAGUAAGGCAAAGUUUUGUCCAAGACAAAUUCUAGGACCCCAUCCAAAAGGGAAAUAAGAAACUUUUCCUUUUGUAGCCUUUGCAAUUCCUUCAGCAAACCUUUCAGGUUUGAACUCCUUUGCAUCAUCACCCCAUAGAUCAUGAUCUUGGUGAAUCAAUAGUAUUGGUAGGGAAAUUUGUGUUCCUUCAGGUAGCGAAACGUUUCCAAGUUUCAAAUCCUUUCGAAGAGCUCGGUUGAAGUAAAUUAAAGGUGGGAAUAACCUUAGUACCUCAUACAAAAUCAUGGUAACCUAUAAAAACAAAAACAAUUAUUAGAUAGUACCAAAAAGGAUUAAGUAUUAAUAAUCAUCAAAAUGAAAUUUGAACAAUACAUACAAUUUUAAGUUGAUUUAAUCCUUCGAUGUUUGGAUUUUGGUUCCCAAAAACUUGCAAAACUUCCUGCCUUGCACGUGCUUGCCAUUCAGGAUACCUGCCUAAUAACACCAUUGUCCAAACCAGCAAACUUGAGGUGGUCUCUUGCCCAGCAAUGUAAAACAAUUUGCAUUCAUCUAUCACAUCUUGGGUGGUCAUCCCAUUACUCUUACUAUUUCCAUGUCCUUGUUUUUCGGCAUGAUUUGAUUGCAAAAGAAUGCCUAAUAAAUCGUCAUUGGUGGGUUCACCAUUCUUCAGUGCUUUUUCUCGCUUUUCAAUGAUUCCCUCAAGUGAAUCAUGGAUUUCUCUAUCAAUUUCUUUCAUCUUCGUCUUGGUAGUUGUUGCUAGAAGCCUAGAAAACACAUUUAUCUAGUGAUGUUAAAUGUGAAGGAACACACUUGGUUCAUAAAUGCAACACAAUUCAUUUCAUUAGGUACUAUGGAUUAAGUCUAACUCAACCGUACAUAUUAGUCGUGUAAAAUGAGUGGUUCCCUUGUUUAUAAACUUUUUUCAGACUUUUUUUUUAAGUGGGGCUUGGGAUUUUGUAAAGUGUUUAAAGUUUUCAAUUUGUCAAAUGUACCAAAAUAAUAUAUUGUAGUCAUACCCCCAUAAUGGAUUGUUCGUUUGUCGCCCUGUCAUCAAAAGAAAUCCCUGCUUCUUUAGAAGUUGAAAUAGUUUUUCUCCUUCUGCGUAGCUGCUUCCAAAUGCCGUCCGAGAAAUUACAUCACAGGUAAAAUUCUGAAGGAAAGGCCAAACAUCAACCUCACAUGUUCCAUCUGAUGACAAUAGUUCCUUCCAUUUACUAAUCAUUUCAUUGCAACUGUAAGAAAAUGCAGG
rnacentral:lncRNA from 1 species